GCCCGUGGGCACCUACUGUGUGCCAGGCCCUUCCCGUGCUGUAGGACUGCAUCCUUGCAGAGACCUUUACGAGAGAAGAGGGACCACCCGGAAAGCGGAACAUGAGCACAGGUGGGGAUGUGGAGGCGCUCAGCGGCGGAACCCAGGGCUGAAGCCAGUCAGCCCAGCUCCCCAGCCCACAUGGACCGCGAUGCGAGCUCACCCAGACACGGAAGCAGGACGGCCCAGCACACCCUCCCCCAGCCGGCUGCCAGGCUUGAGAUGACCAUUUGAAUGUGCGAGGCACUGGCCUGAACCCCUUCCUGUGUGAUCUCACUCAAUCUGUGAUUACACCCGGAGUCUGGUUCUGGG